CAGAGAAUAGUUUAAUAAAAAUAUUAGUUUUGGGGACUAAAGAUAAGUAAAAAAUAUUUUUCCCUGA
rnacentral:tRNA from 1 species